AUGGCCCAGGCCUCCCUGGCCUCCCCACCCUCUGUGGUCCUCCGUGGUCUCCCAGGGCUUCUCCGGUUCCCCACAGCCCUCCAUGGUCUCCUCAGCCUUCUCUGGUCCCCACAGCCCUCCAUGGUCUCCUCAGCCUUCUCUGGUCCCCACAGUCCUCCAUGGUCUCCUCAGCCUUCUCUGGUCCCCACAGUCCUCCAUGGUCUCCUCAGCCUUCUCUGGUCCCCACAGUCCUCCAUGGUCUCCUCAGCCUUCUCUGGUCCCCACAGCCCUCCAUGGUCUCCUCAGCCUUCUCUGGUCCUCUGUAGUCCUCCGUGGUCUCCUCAGCCUUCUCUGGUCCCCACAGUCCUCCAUGGUCUCCUCAGCCUUCUCUGGUCCCCACAGUCCUCCAUGGUCUCCUCAGCCUUCUCUGGUUCCCUACAGCCCUCUGUGGUCUCCUCAGCCUUCUCUGGUCCCCACAGUCCUCCAUGGUCUCCUCAGCCUUCUCUGGUCCCCACAGUCCUCCAUGGUCUCCUCAGCCUUCUCUGGUCCCCACAGUCCUCCAUGGUCUCCUCAGCCUUCUCUGGUCCCCACAGUCCUCCAUGGUCUCCUCAGCCUUCUCUGGUCCCCACAGCCCUCCAUGGUCUCCUCAGCCUUCUCUGGUCCUCUGUAGUCCUCCGUGGUCUCCUCAGCCUUCUCUGGUCCCCACAGUCCUCCAUGGUCUCCUCAGCCUUCUCUGGUCCCCACAGUCCUCCAUGGUCUCCUCAGCCUUCUCUGGUUCCCUACAGCCCUCUGUGGUCUCCUCAGCCUUCUCUGGUCCCCACAGUCCUCCAUGGUCUCCUCAGCCUUCUCUGGUCCCCACAGUCCUCCAUGGUCUCCUCAGCCUUCUCCGGUUCCCUACAGCCCUCUGUGGUCUCCUCAGCCUUCUCUGGUCCCCACAGUCCUCCAUGGUCUCCUCAGCCUUCUCUGGUCCCCACAGUCCUCCAUGGUCUCCUCAGCCUUCUCUGGUCCCCACAGUCCUCCAUGGUCUCCUCAGCCUUCUCUGGUCCCCACAGUCCUCCAUGGUCUCCUCAGCCUUCUCUGGUCCCCUCAGCCCUCCAUGGUCUCCUCAGCCUUCUCUGGUCCCCACAGCCCUCCAUGGUCUCCUCAGCCUUCGCUGGUCCUCUGUAG
rnacentral:lncRNA from 1 species